UACGAAGGGGGCUAGCGUUGUUCGGAAUUACUGGGCGUAAAGCGCACGUAGGCGGCUUUCUAAGUCGGGGGUGAAAUCCUGGAGCUCAACUCCAGAACUGCCUUCGAUACUGGAAAGCUCGAGUCCGGGAGAGGUGAGUGGAACUGCGAGUGUAGAGGUGAAAUUCGUAGAUAUUCGCAAGAACACCAGUGGCGAAAGGCGGCUCACUGGCCCGGUACUGACGCUGAGGUGCGAAAGCGUGGGGAGCAAACAGG
rnacentral:rRNA from 1 species